rnacentral:rRNA from 1 species
GAUGAACGCUGGCGGCGUGCUUAACACAUGCAAGUCGAACGGACAGGCCCUUCGCGUUCCUCGCUUGUGGUAGCGGUGGGUGACACGUUGAUGAUUUGCUCUCCACUUUGUGAUACUCCUGUGACACUGGGUCUCCUACCCUAUUACCCCACGCUCUUCUUGACGUGUGGUUGCAAGCUUUUGCGGCGUGGGAUGGGUCCGUGGUCUAUCAGCUUGUUGUUGAGUUGCUGGUUGACCAAGGCGCCGACUGGUAGCCGGCCUGAGAGUGUGAGCGGCGACAAUGGGACUGAGGGACGGACCAGACUGGUACGUGAGGCAGCAGGGGGGAAUAUUGCACAAUGGGCGCAAGCCUGAGGCAGCGACGCCGCGUGAGGGAUGACGGCCUUCGGGUUGUAAACCUAUUUCAAUAGGGACGAAGCGAAAGUGACGGUACCUAUAGAAGAAGCACCGGCCAACUACGUG